AACUGACUUUUCGUUGGUGAAUCACAACAUUUGAUUAACCACACAUGCGGCUUUGUCCGUGGUGGUGCUUCACAUAAGCAUCUGACCCAUCAAGUAUAGUUGGUAGUGUAGUGGACUACCAAGCUAGUGACGGGUACGGAGGAUGUGGGUUCGAUCCCGGAGAAAAGGCCUGAGAAACGGCCUUUAUUUCUAAGGAAAGCAGCAGGCGCGCAAAUUACCCAAUGAGGAAUUCUUGAGGUAGCGAACAACAAUAACAUUGAAGAUGUCUUUAGACAACUUCAAAUGGAUUGAGUCAAACGUAACACAGUGAACGAUAUCUAUUGGAGGGCAAGCCUGGUGCCAGCAGCCGCGGUAAUUCCAGCUCCAAGAAUUAUGGUUAAAAUUGUUGCAGUUAAAAAGCCCGUAGUUGAAAUGAAAGGUUUGCGAGGGUUGGUUACACGAGACGUGUUGACUGAACCUCUCUACCUUUUUCUUUGGGGCGCGUGUCGUCGGGGGAUUCAUUUUCUCUGGCGCGAGCACCGCUCCUCUUUUACCUUGAAAAAAUAGGCGCGUUCAAAGCAGGUCGUAAUGGCCGUUGAACUCUUCAGCAUGGAAUAAUGAAAUAGGACACGGGUUUUAUUUUGUUGGUUCGUAUAACUCGAGUAAUGAUUAAUAGAAGUGGUCGGGGGGCUUGGUAUUAUGAGUCAAGCGGUGAAAUGCGUUGACACUUGUAAGACCAACUUCUGCGAAGGCUAGGCUCAAGCACACCUUCAUUAAUCAAGGGCGAAGGCGAGGGGAGCGAAAAUGAUCAGAUACCGUUGUAGUCCUCGCAGUAAACGAUGCCGACCAAGGAUCAGUGACUGUCUUCAAGACGUCAUUGGAACUUUGAGGGAAACCAGAGUUUUCGGGUUCUGGGGGGAGUAUGGUCGCAAGUCUGAAACUUAAAGGAAUUGACGGAAGGGCACCACCAGGUGUGGAGCUUGCGGCUUAAUUUGACCCAACACGGGGAAACUUACCAGGGCAAUACGGAAGAAGGAUUGUCAGCUUGACAGUGCUUACAUGAUUUUUCGAAAAGUGGUGCAUGGCCGUUCUUAAUUGGUGGAGUGAUUUGUCUGGUUUAUUCCGUUAACGAGUGAGACCUUUGCGACUUAAUAGCUUCCGUGUACUUCUAUAUGGCUGAAUCUUGUAUUUAGGUGUGUUGCCAAGGUUAUGUGCCAUUGCGAGUGGAUGUCUGAAGCUACAGCGCCGGAGCUUCUUCGUCGGACUGCUUGCGAAAAGCAAGAGGAAGGAGAAGGCUAAAACAGGUCUGUUAUGCCCUUAGAUGUUCUGGGAUGCACG
rnacentral:rRNA from 1 species